AACGAGUCUCGGCCUUUUCCCUAAGAUCAAGUGUAGGAGCUGUCCUCUUCGUGCUCAGCAUCUGAUGCGUCCUCUGGUCGAGGACGGCAUUGUAAAUGGGUUUGUUGGGGUUGGGUAUGGGGGCCAGGGGUUCGCUCCAUCCACUUCACGCAUCGGCCUGGCGUUGCAGUGUUUCUAGAAACUGUGUGCGCUUC
rnacentral:snRNA from 1 species